UACAUGGGGUGUAAACGUUGCUCGGAAUCAUUGGGCGUAAAGCGCGCGUAGGCGGUUACUUAUGUCGGAUGUGAAAGCCCUCGGCUUAACUGAGGAAGUGCAUUCGAAACUGGGUAGCUAGAGUACUAAAGAGGGUAGUGGAAUUCCCGGUGUAGUGGUAAAAUGCGUAGAUAUCGGGAGGAACACCAGUGGCGAAGGCGACUACCUGGCCUGUUCUUGACGCUGAGGCGCGAAAGCUAGGGGAGCAAACGGG
rnacentral:rRNA from 1 species